rnacentral:rRNA from 1 species
UACGUAGGGACCAAGCGUUGUUCGGAUUUACUGGGCGUAAAGGGCGCGUAGGCGGCAUGACAAGUCACUUGUGAAAUCUCCGGGCUUAACUCGGAACGGUCAAGUGAUACUGUCGCGCUAGAGUGCGGAAGGGGCAAUCAGAAUUCUUGGUGUAGCGGUGAAAUGCGCCAGAUAGUCAGGAGGAACACCAAUGGGCGAAGGCAGCUCGCUGGGACGUGAC